GGCAUGGCUCAACCAUGGACACGCCUCUGAAAACUACGGAAACUUGAGGUCGGGAGAGGAAAGUGGAAUUCCUGGAGUAGCGGUGAAAUGCGUAGAUAUCAGGAGGAACACCAGUGGCGAAGGCGACUUUCUGGCCCGACACUGACGCUGAGGAGCGAAAGCCAGGGGAGCAAAAGGGAUUAGAUACCCCUGUAGUC
rnacentral:rRNA from 1 species